GGUAUUCCUUAUCUUUUAAUCGUUGAUUGUCUGGAACCUGUCCCAUUGCAUUCUCAGCCUGGGGUAAAAACACAAUAAGACAGGUUCUGCGUUUAGUUGCCGCGCUCUAUGAUUGG
rnacentral:sRNA from 2 species